rnacentral:rRNA from 1 species
ACGGAGGGUGCAAGCAUUGAUCGGAAUUAUUGGGCGUAAAGGGCGCGUAGGCGGUCAGAUAAGUCGGAUGUGAAAUGCCGGGGCUCAACCCCGGAGCUGCAUUUGAAACUAUAUGACUAGAGGAUAGUUAGGGAAAAUGGAAUUCCACGUGUAGCGGUGAAAUGCGUAGAUAUGUGGAAGAACACCGGUGGUGAAGACGAUUUUCUGGGCUAUCACUGACGCUGAGGCGCGAAAGCUAGGGGAGCAAACAGGA